rnacentral:rRNA from 1 species
UACGGAGGGUGCAAACGUUGCUCGGAAUCAUUGGGCGUAAAGCGCACGUAGGCGGUCGGCUAUGUCGGAUGUGAAAGCCUCGGGCUUAACCCGAGAAGGGCAUCCGAAACUGGCCGGCUUGAGUACGGAAGAGGGUCUCGGAAUUCCCGGUGUAGAGGUGAAAUUCGUAGAUAUCGGGGAGGAACACCAGUGGCGAAGGCGGAGACCUGGGCCGAUACUGACGCUGAGGUGCGAAAGCGUGGGGAGCAAACAGG